AUUGAACGCUGGCGGCAUGCCUUACACAUGCAAGUCGAACGGCAGCACGGGAGCAAUCCUGGUGGCGAGUGGCGAACGGGUGAGUAAUAUAUCGGAACGUGCCCAGUCGUGGGGGAUAACGUAGCGAAAGCUACGCUAAUACCGCAUACGAUCUAUGGAUGAAAGCGGGGGAUCGCAAGACCUCGCGCGAUUGGAGCGGCCGAUAUCAGAUUAGGUAGUUGGUGAGGUAAAGGCUCACCAAGCCGACGAUCUGUAGCUGGUCUGAGAGGACGACCAGCCACACGGGGACUGAGACACGGCCCAGGCUCCUACGGGAGGCAGCAGUGGGGAAUUUUGGACAAUGGGCGCAAGCCUGAUCCAGCAAUGCCGCGUGCAGGAUGAAGGCCUUCGGGUUGUAAACUGCUUUUGUACGGAACGAAACGGCGAGCUCUAAUACAGUUUGCUAAUGACGGUACCGUAAGAAUAAGCACCGGCUAACUACGUGCCAGCCGCCGCAGUAA
rnacentral:rRNA from 1 species